GGACGUCCUGGUUCAAUCUGCAUUUUUCCUGCUCAGAACCACAGCAUUUAGAAACCCAAACCUGGCUGUGAGGUCCAUCCACUGAUAUUAAGACAUAAGCAGCGGUCCCAGCAUCUUCACAGCAAAAGCCUCUCUCCAAGAAACUCCCCAGAAAUAAGGAUGGCUCAGAUGAUUCUGCUGCUAGUGAUUUGUGGUCUCAUAUUGUGUGGACUUCAUCAUUUUGUCUUCCGUAGGCCUGACAUGGACAAACGACCCAAUCCUGCCGGAUGUGCCCUUGUGAGAGGGUGGGAGCUGAUCCGCUCUAUGUGAAGCCUGAUUCUAAAGCUGAUACAGAGGCACCAGGACCGCCAAACCCAC
rnacentral:lncRNA from 1 species